rnacentral:rRNA from 1 species
GACGAACGCUGGCGGCGUGCCUAACACAUGCAAGUCGAACGGACUUGACGGAAGCUUGCUUUUGUCAAGUUAGUGGCGGACGGGCGAGUAACGCGUGAGCAACCUGCCCUUCAGUGGGGAAUAACGACCGGAAACAGUCGCUAAUACCGCAUAAUGUAUUCUGAUGGCAUCAUCGGGAUACCAAAGGAGCAAUUCGCUGAAGGAUGGGCUCGCGUCCGAUUAGCUAGUUGGUGAGGUAACGGCCCACCAAGGCGACGAUCGGUAGCCGAACUGAGAGGUUGAUCGGCCGCAUUGGGACUGAGACACGGCCCAGACUCCUACGGGAGGCAGCAGUGGGGGAUAUUGCACAAUGGGGGAAACCCUGAUGCAGCAACGCCGCGUGAGGGAAGAAGGUCUUCGGAUUGUAAACCUAAGUUGUCAGGGACGAAACAAUGACGGUACCUGAAGAGAAAGCUCCGGCUAACUACGUG